rnacentral:rRNA from 1 species
GACGGAGGGUGCAAGCGUUGUUCGGAAUUACUGGGCGUAAAGGGCGCGUAGGCGGUCUGUUAAGUUCGGUGUGAAAGCCCCCGGCUCACCUGGGGAACUGCGCCGGAAACCGACAGACUCGAGUACCGGAGAGGAGGGUGGAAUUCCUGGUGUAGCGGUGAAAUGCGUAGAUAUCAGGAGGAACACCGAUUGCGAAGGCAGCUCGCUGGAACGUUACUGACGCUGAGACGCGAAAGCGUGGGGAGCAAACAGG